GUAGGUGGCAAGCGUUGUCCGGAAUUAUUGGGCGUAAAGCGCGCGCAGGCGGUUCUUUAAGUCUGAUGUGAAAGCCCACGGCUCAACCGUGGAGGGUCAUUGGAAACUGGAGAACUUAAGUACAGAAGAGGAAAGCGGAAUUCCACGUGUAGCGGUGAAAUGCGUAGAGAUGUGGAGGAACACCAGUGGCGAAGGCGGCUUUCUGGUCUGUAACUGACGCUGAGGCGCGAAAGCGUGGGGAGCAAACAGGGAUUAGAUACCCUGGUAGUCCACGCCGUAAACGAUGAGUGCUAAGUGUUAGGGGGUUUCCCGCCCCUUAGUGCUGCAGCUAACGCAUUAAGCACUCCGCCUGGGGAGUACGGCCGCAAGGCUG
rnacentral:rRNA from 1 species